rnacentral:rRNA from 1 species
UACAUAGGGAGCAAGCGUUAUCCGGAAUGAUUGGGCGUAAAGCGUCUGUAGGUGGUUCAAAAAGUCUACUGUCAAAUACGUUGGCUCAACCAACGGCAGGCAUUAGAGUACUAUUGAACUAGAGUGUGGUAGAGGUAGAGGGAAUCCCUAGCGUAACAGUGAAAUGUGUAGAUUUUAGGGAGAACACCAGCGGCGAAGGCGCUCUGCUGGGCCAUUACUGACACUGAGAGACGAAAGCUAAGGGAGCGAAAGGG